rnacentral:sRNA from 1 species
UAAUAAAAGAAAGUGGUCGUAUGCGAGU